rnacentral:rRNA from 1 species
UCUGGUUGAUCCUGCCAGAGGUUACUGCUAUUGGUGUUCGACUAAGCCAUGCAAGUCAUAUGUUCCUCGUGAACAUGGCAUACUGCUCAGUAACACGUGGAUAACCUGCCCUUGGGUCUGGGAUAACCCCGGGAAACUGGGGAUAAUACUGGAUAACGCAUAUGUGCUGGAAUGCUUUAUGCGUAAAACGGAUUCGUCCGCCCAAGGAUGGGUCUGCGGCCUAUCAGGUAGUAGUGGGUGUAAUGUACCUACUAGCCAACAACGGGUACGGGUUGUGAGAGCAAGAGCCCGGAGAUGGAUUCUGAGACAUGAAUCCAGGCCCUACGGGGCGCAGCAGGCGCGAAAACUUUACAAUGCGGGAAACCGUGAUAAGGGAACACCGAGUGCCAGCAUCAUAUGCUGGCUGUCCAGAUGUGUAAACUACAUCUGUUAGCAAGGGCCGGGCAAGACCGGUGCCAGCCGCCGCGGUAACACCGGCGGCCCGAGUGGUGACCGUUAUUAUUGGGUCUAAAGGGUCCGUAGCCGGUUUGGUCAGUCCUCCGGGAAAUCUGAUAGCUUAACUGUUAGGCUUUCGGGGGAUACUGCCAGGCUUGGAACCGGGAGAGGUAAGAGGUACUACAGGGGUAGGAGUGAAAUCUUGUAAUCCCUGUGAGACCACCUGUGGCGAAGGCGUCUUACCAGAACGGGUUCGACGGUGAGGGACGAAAGCUGGGGGCACGAACCGGAUUAGAUACCCGGGUAGUCCCAGCCGUAAACUAUGCUCGCUAGGUGUCAGGCAUGGCGCGACCGUGUCUGGUGCCGCAGGGAAGCCGUGAAGCGAGCCACCUGGGAAGUACGGCCGCAAGGCUGAAACUUAAAGGAAUUGGCGGGGGAGCACAACAACGGGUGGAGCCUGCGGUUUAAUUGGACUCAACGCCGGACAACUCACCGGGAACGACAGCAAUAUGUAGGCCAGGCUGAAGACCUUGCCUGAAUCGCUGAGAGGAGGUGCAUGGCCGUCGCCAGUUCGUACUGUGAAGCAUCCUGUUAAGUCAGGCAACGAGCGAGACCC